GACGAACGCUGGCGGCGUGCCUAAUACAUGCAAGUUGAGCGCUGAAGGUUGGUACUUGUCCCAACUGGAUGAGCAGCGAACGGGUGAGUAACGCGUGGGGAAUCUGCCUUUGAGCGGGGGACAACAUUUGGAAACGAAUGCUAAUACCGCAUAAAAACUUUAAACACAAGUUUUAAGUUUGAAAGAUGCAAUUGCAUCACUCAAAGAUGAUCCCGCGUUGUAUUAGCUAGUUGGUGAGGUAAAGGCUCACCAAGGCGAUGAUACAUAGCCGACCUGAGAGGGUGAUCGGCCACAUUGGGACUGAGACACGGCCCAAACUCCUACGGGAGGCAGCAGUAGGGAAUCUUCGGCAAUGGACGAAAGUCUGACCGAGCAACGCCGCGUGAGUGAAGAAGGGUGUCGGAUCGUAAAACUCUGUUGGUAGAGAAGAACGUUGGUGAGGGUGGAAAGCUCAUCAAGUGACGGUAACUACCCAGAAAGGGACGGCUAACUACGUG
rnacentral:rRNA from 1 species